GACGAACGCUGGCGGCGUGCCUAACACAUGCAAGUCGAGCGGAGUCGAUCGACGGAAGCCUUCGGGCGGAAGAUGGUUGACUUAGCGGCGGAUGGGUGAGUAACGCGUGGGCAACCUGCCUCGAAGACCGGGAUAACAGCCCGAAAGGGCUGCUAAUACCGGAUGUGGUCAAGGAUCCGCAUGGAUUUUUGAUUAAAGGGGAAACCCGUUUCGAGAUGGGCCCGCGUCCUAUCAGCUAGUUGGUGAGGUAAAAGCUCACCAAGGCGACGACGGGUAGCCGGCCUGAGAGGGUGACCGGCCACACUGGAACUGAGACACGGUCCAGACUCCUACGGGGGGCAGCAGUGGGGAAUCUUCCACAAUGGGCGAAAGCCUGAUGGAGCGACGCCGCGUGAGCGAAGAAGGCCUGGUUGUAAGACUCUGUCUGGAGGGACGGAAGGAAGGUAGGACGGUAACCGUCCCGGACGGAAGGACCGACGGCGUAACUACGUACGCCACGCAGCCGCGGUAAACGUAACGUACUAU
rnacentral:rRNA from 1 species